UAGCACAUCUGCUGACCACAGCCC
rnacentral:misc_RNA from 1 species